UGAACAGAUAGCCUACAUCCGAACAGAAUGAAAUUAAUUUUACCCAAGGAACCAAAUGUUGUACCAGAAAUUCUGUGAGCAAAAGCUCUCAACCACAAAGAAAAUGCUAACUCAAGGUUCAUGCCAUGGAUGCCCAGUGGUGCUUAACGUCACAGCUGAAACCACAGCUUGCCUACCAGGAGCAGAGGGAAGAUGGAUCAUCUUCAGCUGCAGCAGGGAGGGUGCAGGGAUGCAGUGAUGGGCUGUGAUUCUGUGGUUCAUUCAGAGAACAGCUGGGUGAGGAAACUUCCUAGCGAGGGUGUGAGUGUCUGAAUUUUCCCUCAUCUGCCUCACAAUCGUCAUUUGGGGACCACUGAAGAAAAGACCCCCCCUGCCUAAAAUCUGUGGCUCUGAAGGAGAAAGUUACACACGUCAAGGGCCCCGAGACCUGAGAGCACAGUGCUAAGUUAUUGUUCACAGGUGGUGUUUGCUGUAUGCUACACUGAGCCCAAUGAGAAGAAGGAGGAGACACAGUGCCCUUUUUGCAACAACAGCCUUGGAAGGCUGGACUUCUUCUGAGUUUUUGGUGGUCUCCCACAGAAGACCCUCACCUGUUUUACAACCACCAUGACAGACAGACUGAGAUGUAAGAAGCCUCUUCAUCAAGGACUGAGACAUGAAACCCCCAUGUGGAAAGGCCCCUCUGCUCCUUCCAAGGACUGGAACUGACACCUCCAUGUGGAAAGGCCCCUCUGCUCCAUCAAGGACUGAGACAUGAAACCCCCAUGUAGAAAGACUCCUCUGCUCCUUCCAAGGGCUGGGACUGAAACCCCCAGCCCAGGGAUGUGUGUGGGGGAGGCAAGCUGACCAAAGCGAGAUGUUUGCCUGCAGGUUGUGACCACUGGACCACAAAAACAAUGGCUCUCGCUUACUGCUGAGAGCAUGGACUACAUGCUACAUCUAUUCCUUAUUGUAUCUGUUUCCCCCACUCCUCACAAUUUUCAAUAGAGUUAUCAUAAUAAAACCCUCUGAGUAAGCUGGAGAUUUGAGGUC
rnacentral:lncRNA from 1 species